rnacentral:rRNA from 1 species
UACAGAGGGUGCGAGCGUUGUCCGGAAUCACUGGGCGUAAAGGGCGCGUAGGUGGCGCGACAAGUCAGUGGUGAAAGUUCGACGCUCAACGUCGAAUCGGCCACUGAUACUGUUGGGCUUGAGCACUGUAGAGGCUAAUGGAAUUCCGGGUGUAGCGGUGGAAUGCGUAGAGAUCCGGAGGAAGACCGGUGGCGAAGGCGGUCUGCUGGGCAGUUUCUGACACUGAGGCGCGACAGCGUGGGGAGCAACAGGG